rnacentral:rRNA from 1 species
UACGUAGGGUGCAAGCGUUGUCCGGAAUUAUUGGGCGUAAAGAGCUCGUAGGCGGUUUGUCACGUCUGCUGUGAAAACUGGAGGCUCAACCUCCAGCUUGCAGUGGGUACGGGCAGACUAGAGUGCGGUAGGGGAGACUGGAAUUCCUGGUGUAGCGGUGGAAUGCGCAGAUAUCAGGAGGAACACCGGUGGCGAAGGCGGGUCUCUGGGCCGUAACUGGACGCUGGAGGAGCGAAAGCAUGGGGAGCGAACAGG